UGACCACUUUCUGAACGGUAGUAUAAAUUUUAGAAAGUUAAGGCAUGCGGACAGCCGGGUCAAAUGCCGA
rnacentral:sRNA from 12 species